CCUACGGGCGGCAGCAGUGAGGAAUAUUGGUCAAUGGGCGCGAGCCUGAACCAGCCAAGUAGCGUGAAGGAUGACUGCCCUACGGGUUGUAAACUUCUUUUAUAAAGGAAUAAAGUGCGGCACGUGUGCCUUUUUGUAUGUACUUUAUGAAUAAGGAUCGGCUAACUCCGUGCCAGCAGCCGCGGUAAUACGGAGGAUCCGAGCGUUAUCCGGAUUUAUUGGGUUUAAAGGGAGCGUAGAUGGGUUGUUAAGUCAGUUGUGAAAGUUUGCGGCUCAACCGUAAAAUUGCAAUUGAUACUGGCAGCCUUGAGUACAGUAGAGGUAGGCGGAAUUCGUGGUGUAGCGGUGAAAUGCUUAGAUAUCACGAAGAACCCCGAUUGCGAAGGCAGCUUACUAAACUGUGACUGACAUUGAUGCUCGAAAGUGUGGGUAUCAAACAGGAGUAGAUACCCGAGUAGUC
rnacentral:rRNA from 1 species